rnacentral:rRNA from 1 species
GCCUACGGGGGGCAGCAGUGGGGAAUAUUGCACAAUGGGGGAAACCCUGAUGCAGCGACGCCGCGUGAGUGAAGAAGUAUUUCGGUAUGUAAAGCUCUAUCAGCAGGGAAGAUAAUGACGGUACCUGACUAAGAAGCCCCGGCUAACUACGUGCCAGCAGCCGCGGGAAUACGUAGGGGGCAAGCGUUAUCCGGAUUUACUGGGUGUAAAGGGAGCGUAGGUGGCAGGGCAAGUCAGAUGUGAAAACCCGGGGCUCAACUCCGGGAGGGCAUUUGAAACUGUCCAGCUAGAGUGAGUGUGAGGUA